rnacentral:rRNA from 1 species
GGGUUGUGAGGUUAAGCGACUAAGCGUACACGGUGGAUGCCCUGGCAGUCAGAGGCGAUGAAGGACGUGCUAAUCUGCGAUAAGCGUCGGUAAGGUGAUAUGAACCGUUAUAACCGGCGAUUUCCGAAUGGGGAAACCCAGUGUGAUUCGUCACACUAUCAUUACGUGAAUACAUAGCGUAAUGAAGCGAACCGGGGGAACUGAAACAUCUAAGUACCCCGAGGAAAAGAAAUCAACCGAGAUUCCCCCAGUAGCGGCGAGCGAACGGGGAGCAGCCCAGAGUCUGAAUCAGCUUGUGUGUUAGUGGAACGGUCUGGAAAGUCCGACGGUACAGGGUGAUAGUCCCGUACACCAAAAUGCACAGGUUGUGAACUCGAAGAGUAGGGCGGGACACGUGGUAUCCUGUCUGAAUAUGGGGGGACCAUCCUCCAAGGCUAAAUACUCCUGACUGACCGAUAGUGAACCAGUACCGUGAGGGAAAGGCGAAAAGAACCCCGGCGAGGGGAGUGAAAAAGAACCUGAAACCGUGUACGUACAAGCAGUGGGAGCCUCUUUAUGGGGUGACUGCGUACCUUUUGUAUAAUGGGUCAGCGACUUAUAUUCUGUAGCAAGGUUAACCGUAUAGGGGAGCCGAAGGGAAACCGAGUCUUAACUGGGCGUUAAGUUGCAGGGUAUAGACCCGAAACCCGGUGAUCUAGCCAUGGGCAGGUUGAAGGUUGGGUAACACUAACUGGAGGACCGAACCGACUAAUGUUGAAAAAUUAGCGGAUGACUUGUGGCUGGGGGUGAAAGGCCAAUCAAACCGGGAGAUAGCUGGUUCUCCCCGAAAGCUAUUUAGGUAGCGCCUCGUGAAUUCAUCUUCGGGGGUAGAGCACUGUUUCGGCUAGGGGGUCAUCCCGACUUACCAACCCGAUGCAAACUGCGAAUACCGAAGAAUGUUAUCACGGGAGACACACGGCGGGUGCUAACGUCCGUCGUGAAGAGGGAAACAACCCAGACCGCCAGCUAAGGUCCCAAAGUCAUGGUUAAGUGGGAAACGAUGUGGGAAGGCACAGACAGCCAGGAUGUUGGCUUAGAAGCAGCCAUCAUUUAAAGAAAGCGUAAUAGCUCACUGGUCGAGUCGGCCUGCGCGGAAGAUGUAACGGGGCUAAACCAUGCACCGAAGCUGCGGCAGCGACACUAUGUGUUGUUGGGUAGGGGAGCGUUCUGUAAGCCGUUGAAGGUGUACUGUGAGGUAUGCUGGAGGUAUCAGAAGUGCGAAUGCUGACAUAAGUAACGAUAAUGCGGGUGAAAAACCCGCACGCCGGAAGACCAAGGGUUCCUGUCCAACGUUAAUCGGGGCAGGGUGAGUCGACCCCUAAGGCGAGGCCGAAAGGCGUAGUCGAUGGGAAACAGGUUAAUAUUCCUGUACUUGGUGUUACUGCGAAGGGGGGACGGAGAAGGCUAUGUUAGCCGGGCGACGGUUGUCCCGGUUUAAGCAUGUAGGCGGAGGUUCCAGGUAAAUCCGGUACCUUUUAACGCUGAGGUGUGAUGACGAGGCACUACGGUGCUGAAGUAACAAAUGCCCUGCUUCCAGGAAAAGCCUCUAAGCAUCAGGUAACACGAAAUCGUACCCCAAACCGACACAGGUGGUCAGGUAGAGAAUACCAAGGCGCUUGAGAGAACUCGGGUGAAGGAACUAGGCAAAAUGGUGCCGUAACUUCGGGAGAAGGCACGCUGAUAUGUAGGUGAAGUGAUUUACUCAUGGAGCUGAAAUCAGUCGAAGAUACCAGCUGGCUGCAACUGUUUAUUAAAAACACAGCACUGUGCAAACACGAAAGUGGACGUAUACGGUGUGACGCCUGCCCGGUGCCGGAAGGUUAAUUGAUGGGGUUAUCCGUAAGGAGAAGCUCUUGAUCGAAGCCCCGGUAAACGGCGGCCGUAACUAUAACGGUCCUAAGGUAGCGAAAUUCCUUGUCGGGUAAGUUCCGACCUGCACGAAUGGCGUAAUGAUGGCCAGGCUGUCUCCACCCGAGACUCAGUGAAAUUGAACUCGCUGUGAAGAUGCAGUGUACCCGCGGCAAGACGGAAAGACCCCGUGAACCUUUACUAUAGCUUGACACUGAACACUGGUCCUUGAUGUGUAGGAUAGGUGGGAGGCUUUGAAGUGUGGACGCCAGUCUGCAUGGAGCCAUCCUUGAAAUACCACCCUUUAAUGGCUGGUGUUCUAACGUGGACCCGUAAUCCGGGUUGCGGACAGUGUCUGGUGGGUAGUUUGACUGGGGCGGUCUCCUCCUAAAGAGUAACGGAGGAGCACGAAGGUUAGCUAAUCCUGGUCGGACAUCAGGAGGUUAGUGCAAAGGCAUAAGCUAGCUUGACUGCGAGAGUGACGGCUCGAGCAGGUGCGAAAGCAGGUCUUAGUGAUCCGGUGGUUCUGAAUGGAAGGGCCAUCGCUCAACGGAUAAAAGGUACUCCGGGGAUAACAGGCUGAUACCGCCCAAGAGUUCAUAUCGACGGCGGUGUUUGGCACCUCGAUGUCGGCUCAUCACAUCCUGGGGCUGAAGUAGGUCCCAAGGGUAUGGCUGUUCGCCAUUUAAAGUGGUACGCGAGCUGGGUUUAGAACGUCGUGAGACAGUUCGGUCCCUAUCUGCCGUGGGCGCUGGAGAAUUGAGGGGGGCUGCUCCUAGUACGAGAGGACCGGAGUGGACGCAUCACUGGUGUUCGGGUUGUCAUGCCAAUGGCAUUGCCCGGUAGCUAAAUGCGGAAGAGAUAAGUGCUGAAAGCAUCUAAGCACGAAACUUGCCCCGAGAUGAGUUCUCCCUGAGACUUAAAGUCUCCUGAAGGAACGUUAAAGACGAUGACGUUGAUAGGUCGGGUGUGUAAGCGUAGCGAUACGUUGAGCUAACCGAUACUAAUGAA